GUGGGGAAUCUUGCGCAAUGGGCGAAAGCCUGACGCAGCCAUGCCGCGUGAAUGAUGAAGGUCUUAGGAUUGUAAAAUUCUUUCACCGGGGACGAUAAUGACGGUACCCGGAGAAGAAGCCCCGGCUAACUUCGUGCCAGCAGCCGCGGUAAUACGAAGGGGGCUAGCGUUGCUCGGAAUUACUGGGCGUAAAGGGCGCGUAGGCGGACAGUUUAGUCAGAGGUGAAAGCCCAGGGCUCAACCUUGGAAUUGCCUUUGAUACUGGGUGUCUGGAGUAUGGAAGAGGUAAGUGGAAUUCCGAGUGUAGAGGUGAAAUUCGUAGAUAUUCGGAGGAACACCAGUGGCGAAGGCGGCUUACUGGUCCAUUACUGACGCUGAGGCGCGAAAGCGUGGGGAGCAAACAGGAUUAGAAACCCCGGUAGUCC
rnacentral:rRNA from 1 species